rnacentral:rRNA from 1 species
AUUGAACGCUGGCGGCAGGCCUAACACAUGCAAGUCGAACGAGUGGCGGACGGGUGAGUAAUGUCUGGGAAACUGCCUGAUGGAGGGGGAUAACUACUGGAAACGGUAGCUAAUACCGCAUACCAUCGGAUGUGCCCAGAUGGGAUUAGCUAGGAGGUGGGGUAAAGGCUCACCUAGGCGACGAUCCCUAGCUGGUCUGAGAGGAUGACCAGUAACAGGGGAACUGAGACGCGGUCGAGACGCCUACGUGAGGCAGCAGGGGGGAAGAUUGGAGAAUGAGCGCAAGCCUGAUGCAGCCAUGCCGCGUGUAUGAAGAAGGGCUUCGGGUUGUAAAGUACUUCAAGCUGGGAGGCGUUACCCGCAGAAGAAGCACCGGCUAACUCCGUGCCAGCAGCCGCGGUAAUAC